AUGGCCGGCGUCCAAGAAGCAUCCCGUGGCGACGUUAGCCGGCGACAACACGCGCGCCGCCGGGUGCUAGUGUUCCCGCUGCCGUUCCAGGGUCACAUCAACCCGAUGCUGCAGCUCGCCGAUGUGCUCCACGGCCGGGGCCUCGCCGUCACCGUCCUCCACACCCAGUUCAACGCGCUGGACCCCGCGCUCCACCCUGAGUUCACCUUCGUCGCGGUGCCCGACGGCGUCCCCGCCGACGUCGCCGCCUCGGGGAGCAUCAUCCCCAUCAUCCUCGCCAUGAACGCCGCCAUGGAGGCGUCGCCGGCCGUCCGCGACGUCCUCGCGUCGGUCCUCGCGGACGACGGUCAGCCCCCCGCCGCGUGCCUGUUCAUCGACGCCAACCUCCUCGCCGUGCAGAAGGCCGCCUCGGCACUCGGGCUCCCCACGAUGGUGCUGCGUACCGGCAGCGCCGCCUGCUUCAGCUGCUUCCUGGCCUAUCCUAUGCUCCACCACAACGGUUAUCUACCUCCAAAAGAAUCACAGCUCUACACGCCGGUGAAAGAGCUGCCGCCGCUGCGUGUCAGGGACCUGUUCCGCACGAGCACCAGCGACCACAAAAUGGUGCGCAAAGUUCUAGCCCGAGCCUCUGAAACCGUGAGGAACUCCUUCGGACUCGUCGUCAACACGUUCGACGCUCUGGAGACCGCUGAACUGGACAGGAUACGCCGCGAACUGGACGUGGCCUUCGUGCUCGCCGCCGGCCCGCUCCACAAGCUCUCCUCCCGGAGCACCGGGAGCAGCCUGCUGCGCGAGGACCGUAGCUGCAUGGAGUGGUUGGACAAGCAGGUCCCGGGGUCCGUGCUGUAUGUGAGCUUCGGGAGCUUGGCAUCCAUGGAUGGCGGCGAGCUCUCGGAGAUCGCGUGGGGUUUGGCCAACAGUGGCCAACCUUUUCUGUGGGUUGUCCGCCGUGACCUCGUGCGGGGAUCCGACGGGCCAGGCCUGCCGGAAGGAUUUGAUCGUGCGGUGGAGGGCAGAGGCAAGGUGAUCCCGUGGGCCCCGCAGCAGGAGGUGCUGGCCCACUUUGCAGUGGGUGGGUUCUGGACCCACAACGGCUGGAACUCGACACUGGAGAGCAUCAGUGAGGGUCUCCCGAUGAUCUGCAUGCCUCACUUUGCGGAUCAAAUGAUGAACACAAGGUACGUGGAGGCAGUGUGGGGCGUAGGGUUUGAGCUCGAGGGCAAGCCAGAGAGAAACAAAAUCGCCAAGGCAAUUCAAAAGCUUAUGAAUGAGAGGGAAGGAGAAGUGGCUAGGGAAAAAGCAAGAGAACUUAAGAAAAAAGUAGUGUCGUGCUUGAAAAGUGGUGGGUCUUCUCUGCUAGCUAUUGAUAAACUUGUCGAGCAUAUAUCGUCUUUGUAA
rnacentral:rRNA from 1 species